rnacentral:rRNA from 1 species
GACAGAGGGUGCUAGCGUUGUUCGGAAUUACUGGGCGUAAAGGGCGCGUAGGCGGUCUGUUAAGUUCGGUGUGAAAUCCCCUGGCUCAACUGGGGAACUGCGCUGGAAACUGGCAGACUCGAGUACCGGAGAGGAGAGUGGAAUUCCUGGUGUAGCGGUGAAAGUGCGUAGAUAUCAGGAGGAACACCGGUGGCGAAGGCGGCUCUCUGGACGGAUACUGACGCUGAGGCGCGAAAAGCGUGGGGAGUCAAACAGGA